AAGUAAGGGUGAGCUAGGUAUAAAAAUCAUGUUAUACAAUCACACACAGCAUGCAAAAACCAUAACACAAUACAAACUAAGACCGAAAGCAUUAUUCUGAUACCAAUGACCGACCAUGUGAUUUGACCAUUCAGACUAGUGUGAAAUGUCAAGUUCCAGGGGUUUGUGCACCCGGGUGGUGUAGUAACUGGAAAACCAUCAGCUACCACCCGAGGUUAGUCCGUUAUAACUCACCCAAGAACCUAUGGGCUAGGACUUCCU
rnacentral:lncRNA from 1 species